AUUAUGAGUAGUGCCAAACUUAAAGUCUGUAGUGCUUCAUUGUAACGAGUAACAUCAUAUACCUGAGGCCUUGGUGGGCGUCCCUUCUAUGCCAGUGCAUUAUAUAACUGGAGAGAGUGCCCCAUAAUGGACGGGUCGGCAGUUCAUUCCAGGGUCAGCUGGAAGCAAGCUAACCAGGAAGGGGGCGGGUCCAUGAUACCAGAAGACAGGCGAUGUGUCAGUCACGGAUUGCAGGGGACAUGGUUGGCCGUGCCACCGAAAGAGAGCGUGACGGAGGGUAUUUAGGGGAAGCAGCCCCAGUGAUCUGUUCCUCCGUUAUGGUUACGGACUGACCAUGAGAUGGACUGUUCACUUCUAAUGCAGACCACUACCCAGCAACCAGACCUGCUGCCUCAGCCAGCAGGCUCAGCCGCAGUCACAGACCCACACAAACUCUGCAAUGCCUAUCGGUCACAGAAACACAUACGCUCUGCACUGCCCCCAGUCACGGACCUGUCCUACUUUUAAAGCCUUGGUUGGCCCCAUUCGUAAUCUCCCUCUAUCCAUUCAUAUGCAGAAAUCUUUAUUCUGCUUCCUCUGAACCCAGAAUCACAGAGUCUCUAAUCCAAAAUCUAGAUUGACAAAGAAUUCAUGGCCGGCUCCUUCACAGCUCCGUUCCCCAUCUUCAGAAUUAGCCCCAUUGGAAUAGCGACCCACAAAAUAUUGGGGAAAGUGCCUAAUCAAUGAUCUUUCCACCCUGAGAGGCAGUUCCACUCCAGUCUCAAUGCUCUAAUUCCCCACAAUCAAUUCUCCCUUCAUUAAAUUACAGCUUCUGUCACUAUUAGAUCCAUCAAAGCAGCAGGCCAUGCUGCCUGGCUCGCAAAGGUGGAUAUUAUUGACUCUUUUAAAUCAUGCUCAUUUAUCCCUCCCUCAACAACUUUCUCCUUAUAUUCCCACCUUCGAAACCCCUCAAGCAUCUUCAAUCUGUGAUCCGUGUUUUCUUCAGUAGGCAUCCCACCCUCAAGAUAAACCAUCGGCCCAACUAGAAUUCCUCUGAAUCAUGGGGACACUGUCAAAUCCGAAGCCAGCCUCCCACUCAACAAUCAUAGAAUGCAUUAGUCAAUUCAUUAACAACUUCAAAGUAUCAGAAUCAAUUUCAAUAACAACCCGUUAUCUACCUUCGGACAAUUCAAGUUCGCAAUUCGUAUUAUUCCCAAGGCAGAACAUUCACAUUGUGCCUUCUCACUCUCACCUCAAAUGCAACAACCUGCAUUCUCAUGUAAAAAUAUCUUUCAGAAGCAAGAAACACUCCUCCAGAGCUUCCAACUCCUGGCCUGCAGGCUGUCAUCAUUCCCUCGAGGUUAAGCCUCUAAAUACUUACCUAUAUUCUUCAUGCGGCCCUAGCUCCCACCCAUGAACUGUGUAGUACUACAUUUAAAUGGCACAUAAGAACCUUUUUAUUUUAUUGUGUUACAUGUUCCCAUGUG